rnacentral:rRNA from 1 species
GACGAACGCUGGCGGCGUGCUUAACACAUGCAAGUCGAACGGAAAGGCCCUGCUCUUGUGGGGUGCUCGAGUGGCGAACGGGUGUGAAAAACGUGAGUAACCUCCCCUUUACUUUGGGAUAACACCAGGAAACUGGGGCUAAUACCGGAUAGGAGCUUCUGCUGCCUGGUGGGUUUAGGAAAGUUUCGGCGGUUGUGGAUGGACUGGCGGCCUAUCAGCUUGUUGGUGGGGUAGUGGCUUACCAAGGCUCCGACGGGUAGCCGGCCUGAGAGGGUGACCGGCCACAUUGGGACUGAGAUACGGCCCAGACUCCUACGGGGGGCAGCAGUGGGGAAUAGUGCACAAUGGGCGGAAGCCUGAUGCAGCAACGCCGCGUGCGGGAUGACGGCCUUCGGGUUGUAAACCGCUUUCGCCUGUGACGAAGCGUGAGUGACGGUAAUGGGUAAAGAAGCACCGGCUAACUACGUG